UUUUCUUUCAGAUGAACAAGAAGUUUGUUUGAUUUGAUUGGCUGACCUGACAAUAAACACUGUCAAGACUCAGAUGACCAAAAUGUCAGAGAUUACACAAAGCUUUUGAUGAAAUGAGAGAAUAAUAAAGAAAUUAGUCCUUGUGAUGAAUUAAGAAGUAGGUUUACACUUCAGAUUGUUUUCCAACAAUGAAUGAAAAUACAAACAUAACUUAUAUUACUAGUGGCAGAAUUAGGAAAGCUACGAUAUAUAUGGUUAAUGCAUACACUUUUUGCAAGUCCCACUACAUAGCUGUUUUUGGUCCCAGUCUGUGAAAAAAGUCAAUGGAUGGUGACUUAAUUUAACAAUUUGAUGCAACAUAAAUUAAUACUGUAAUUAUACUUUUGACCCACUUUUAACAACAAUUGGUUCAAAUAUGUUUCAUGAAUUUGAGGACCUGAUUGAGCUCCUCUGAAUUUGUUGGCAGGCAUGGAUCAAGAUUUUUUUUAAAUGGUAAUUGUCUUGGGGUUCAAACAGGAAACAGGAAUGGGUUUAAGGAUGGUUUUUGGUAGUUUUUGCAUGAAGGAGAGUUUGUGAUGGAGGAUUAGAAAAAACUUUAGACCUAAUGGUUGGGCCAUCUGAGUGACUUUUAUUUUGUGUCAUUUUCAUGCUUUUGGUUUUUGUUUGUAUUAAUGCCCGUUCACUCACCACAUCAGCUGUUGAACAAUUGUUUUAUUGCAUGAACCCCCUGAGGGUUCAUGCUUAUAUAUUGGCGAGUUUUGGAUGUGUCUAUGGGCCACUCGAUAUCUCUCGGCCGGAAGUCAGAAUAAAAUUCUCGGAACGUCUCGAAAGUUUUCGGUAAUUUAUACAGGUCUUAACAGGUUGUUAUCUACGACUUUGAUAUGGUCCUUUGAUGGUCCUUGGCGACGCAAUCAUAUUUGUUUGAAAACGACCACUGUACACUGUAUGUAUCUAGGUCAAUUAUAACAUGGUAUUGUCUGUUGUCUCGAUAACAUGUAAACUAAUUAUGUUUGAAGAUUUAACCACGGGAUACUGUGUAUUUCAUCAUAGACCUACGGGAGAGAGCAUUCUGGUUAAAAUAGUAAUAUUAGAUCGGAAAACAGAAAGAUAAUAUUCUUAUCAAAAGUAUUUAAUUCAAUCGGAAUCAAAGAAAUAUAUACAAAUUAUAUACUGUAUUUAUGUUUCUAAAGAAACUAACAAUGAUUGAAAUCAGAAUAUUUUCACAGUUGCAAUUAAGAAAUGAAGUAUUUUAUAUAUGACGAGAUACUCUGCUUUGGUAUUUUUUAAUAUUCAUUUGUAAAGGAAACACACAAAUUUAAUCUGAAUAAAUUCUUACAUCCUACAAAAAAAUUGUUUAUAAACAAUAAUCAUUAUAUUUCUACGUUAAUUAUUUCAUACCAUUUUAGUAUUUAGGUUUUAUGAGUAUUUAUUAUUUAUUUUUUUGUAUUGUAAUAUAUCCAUAAAACGGAAAGUAAGAUAAAUUUAUUAAAUUUUUAAUUUUAAACGGUCGUGAAUAAAAUACUUGUGUGUUUUCAAAUCACGAAGCAUGAUUUUAAAUCCUUAAUUUGCAGCUCACAACAACCGUAAAAAUAAUUUACAAUAAUCACAACAAUAUUUAAUUACAACCAUAAUGUUGAUUAUUUUUAACUGUUUAAGUAUGGAUUUAGAAGUCUUUGCUUAUAUUUUGUAUAGUAAUAUAUUCACAUAGUGGAAUGUUAGAAUUUAAAAAUUGAUUCAUUCAAUAAAUAAAAUGUCCAUCCGUAAAUACUUGACGUUCGUGUUCAUUGAUACAUGUAUUAUAUAUUUUCAAAAGAAUUUGAAAAAAAUUACUAACAGGAACGUUAGUUUAAUAUAAAAUCUUUAAUUCAAUUUUUGUUUGUAUGUUUUAAUAGUUUAACCUUACAGCUAAUACAGCAUCUGCAUAUUUGUACUAUGGUACUGUUCCUAAAAUUGUAUUCAUUGUGUUGACAACUAUCCUACACGUCUAGAUUCAUUCACAUUAUAGAUCACAUUUCAAAAGCACUCUAUCGGUUUGCGUUCUCAAAAAUUCCGGAUAGAAUGUCAAUGAAUCCGGAGUCAAAACAUUUAAUGUAGGCCGCUUGACAUUUGAAUUCAACUAUUAGAUUAAGAUAUAUGUGAUGACGCAAAUGCGUAUUCUUUUCCGGAGUAUCAGUGAGAUGCUUUCUAUUCACUAUUUCGUGCGCUAAAAGACUAUUUGCAUGCAAUACUAUUAAAUUCACUCGUGAAAGCUUAUUUUCGUUUUCGUUAUCUAAUUUCAGGACACGGCAGAAAGAGCUUUACAUGUGACUUUCAAGCACGGUCAUCAUUACUAACGGUAUUCUGACCUCGAGUUGUUUCUCUUUUGUUUCUUUUUUGAGUCACUACAUCCUAUUAUAAACUUUGACCUUUACAAAAAGCUAAGGAUUGUCUACCCAAGGAUAGAUUCCUUAACUUUGUAAUAUAUUUAACUUUUUUCAUUCGAUAGUCACUGAUGUUUUUUUGUAGACUUAACUCGUGUCUGGCAUACAUCAUUUUCAUUCUGGUAUCUUUAUAUAUCUACAUACCUUUUUAUAUAAAUUGGUUAUUUUGAAAGUGUAUACAGGUAUUCAUAAAUUAAGAAAUUCUUCGGCAAAACUAAGUUUCCCUGUAGAAUGUUUGAAUUUAAGUAAAAUCAGGAAAUCCUUAAAAUUUUAGAUGUUUUAUGAGACCAAAAUAAGUCUCUCCAUAAGAGGUCCCAAUCAAUUGCAUGCCAUAGGUUUCAUCGCCGAUACAAUAUCUGCCAUGAGUAAAAACAGCUUCAAAUACGAGUUGAAAAUAUAAAGGCAUUCAUGUAGGAAACAAAAUAUAAAGAUAUGAUAGAUAAAAUAAAUGCAUCCACAAUUCCAGAUUAUAAAGCAAACUGAGUGCAUACAUUUAUAUUGCGAUAGGUUUGUGCAAUUUGCAUAAGUCAUCCGGUUAGUAGAAAUUAGGAUUUGCCAAAGGGUUAUAAUCGGAAAAAUUAUGUACAUUCCCAAGUAAUAAAUAAAAUAGUCGAGCUUUAAAAUAACUAUUCAAAUAGAAGCUGUAAAUAUAUACUUUCAACUGGCUUCUUCCAUUUACAGUCAAUUAUUUCAAUUCAAAAGCAAACACAAAUUCAGCAACGAUCUUUUGAUGACCCGGCAGUCAGCAGUCUUAGGUUUAUGGAUUGCUUUUCUUUUUUUAAAGAAAGCAACUUGUUUUUUUAAUUGCAAGGACAUUUUCGUGUUAGAUCUUGAAAUGUCAGGUUUCUGUAAAAAACAAAAUUGAAAUGCACGUCCUACCAGUAACACUAUAAUUUCUGAAGUAACUUAUUUACAAAUGAGAACUUAUAAUUUACAUCUUUUCAUAUCUGUUACAUGAGUUCUUAAAUAACAAUUAUAUUGUAUAGAUUUCAAAUUCCCUGAUAACCUGCUGUUUAUAAUACAAAUUUAUAGACCAGCUUGUCUGUGUUUUCAGUAUAACUUUCAAUUUAUUAUGUCAGAGUUAUCUGCCCUUUGAUAAUAUUGAAAUCUGUUUCCUUUCAUUAUCAUAUAUGUUGACAGAAAAGAAUAAUUAAUUAGAAAUUUAAUUAAUUGAAGAGGUCAAAGUUUAUCUAAAUGAUUUAAAGAAAUGGCCUUAUAAUGGUUAUGUAGAGACUGUUAAGUAAUAUGGGUUAUACAUACAGACAUUUAAAGAGAAAUAAUAAUUAAUUUACAUUAUUUUGACAUUGUUUAAGUUCUGUUUUCUUUAUUUCCAUGUAUGAUAUCUUGAUAUUUAUGCACAAAUGUGCCUAUUCUCUCAGUUUGGUUAUGUGACAGUAUUAUGCAUUUUAAGGACAUUCCAUGGUGUGCAUUAGGUGCACGAUUUGUCAUAAAUAUAAGAAGAUGUGGUGUGAGUGCCAAUGAGACAACUCUCUCAUCCAGGUCACAAUUUGUAAAAGUAAACCAUUAUAGGUAAAAAGUACAGUCUUCAAUCUGGAAUUAAGACCUCACAUUAACAGGAUGCCUGCAACAUACAUCAAGGCCUCCCCAUGAUUGAAGUAAGAAAAUGUUUUUUUCAAUAUUUAAAAAAAAUUUCCCUAUUUCAUAGUGACAAUGGACUCUUGUUAGUUCUCUGAAAGAGAGGAAAGAAUUGACAGACCAACACCGUAUUGGAAGUAUUUUAUUGAAUCGUAGCAGAAAAAUAUAAAAAGAAGAUGUGGUAUGAAUUCCAAUGAGUCAACUCUUCACAAGAGAUCAAAUGACACAGAAAUUAACAACUACAGGUCACUGUAUGGCCUUCAUCAAAGCCUAUGUUGCUAUUAAAGGUCCCAUAUUUUUCAGAUGUCACCAGAAUCACUCAAACGAAUUAUUAGAAGAUAUUGGUGCACAAUUUAUAAUUAAAACACAAACCUUGAAUUACCUGGUAAUUUGUUCAGAUGAACAUGUGAAGUACCCUACAUUCCAUUGAAAACCUGUUGGUGACCUUCUGCUGUUGUCCGUUCUAUGGUCGGUUGUUGUCUCUUUGACACAUUCCCCAUUUCCAUUCUUAAUUUUACUUCAUGAUAGGUUAAUUAUUAUUUGUUAUGUCCAGUGGAAACUAUUGCAUGCAUAAUCAGAAUGAGAAUCAUUUAUGAUAGUACCUCCUUAAAUUACAGAAAACUAUAGUGUUAUUGAAAAAAAUAAAUAAAAUCAACCAAAAAUGACACUCCAACAGUGUACUACUACUGUCUGGAACUUAAUUUGUAGUUAGGGUGGGAAUUUGUUCCAAAAAACUCGCUAUCAAACUUUUAGAUGAAGAACUGCAAUUUUGAAUAAAUGAACAGUUCCUUUGCUAUACUGUAUAGGUUAAUAAAUUGUAAAUUAUGUAUUAUUUUUUUUAAUAAAUUUAUGCUCCAUUUUAUCAGAAUAUUACUUCCGAUAAUAUGAUAAAUGAGCACAUGUUAUGUUUAACUUUAUAAAUAAAAAUAAUUGUAUGCAUAAUGCAUAUUUAAUAACACUUUUAGUUUUAUUGUUUGUGAAAAACAUAUGUUUUAUUCACGCUUUGUGUCUCUUUUAUAGGUUGUCACAUGCAUGGAAGAUAAAGUAAACAACAGUCAGAAAGAUCAAAGAAUAUGUAAAUGAGUUUUCCAUGCAUUUAUCUUGUAGCUAUCAUACUUUUAACCUCUGACCUUUAAGUUUUCUCUAAUUUGUAAAUUGACCAAAUACUUACUUUGAUAUACAAUAGUUUCAAUUUGACCUGCUGAUUGAAUAGAUGUCAUUUUCAUGGAUCAUUGAUUUCAUCCUUUUUAUGAUGGGUCACUUUCUUUACAGAUCAUUAAGAAAUUUGGUAGGCUGACUUGUUCCAUUAACACCCAUCUGUAAUCAUAAAUCUUGAGGGUAUUUGGUAAAUUAAAGCCAAACAUGAAAUUUUACAGGAGCUAAAUAGUAGAUGAUGUAUAUUAAACAAUUAUUAUAGGCCCUGGUCAAGCGAUUUUUUAAAAGGGAUGUUAAAACAUAUAUAUGCAAGUCAUUAAAGACUAACCGGGUUCAACUAUAUAAUAUGUCCCAAUACAGAAGCAUUAGAUGUCAAUCAAAUUCCAUAUCUGCAACUGCAAUAAGACAAGUUUCAUUUUUUCUUUAAUCAUAGUAUGAAGUCCAUUUAUGUUCUUAUUUUCAAAAUUUCCCUUAAAUUUCAAAAUCACAAGACCAAUGACAGUUGAUUUGUUGUGUGCUUAAAAGUUGAACAACAUAAUAAAAUUGAGGAUGGAAAUGGAGAAUGUGCCAAAAGAGACAACAACCCCACCAUAGAAAAAAACAACAGUAGAAGGUCACCAACAGGUCUUCAAUGUAGCGAGAAAUUCCCGCACCCGGAGGCGUCCUUCAGCUGGCCCCUAAACAAAUAUAUACUAGUUCAGUGAUAAUGAACGCCAUACUAAUUUCCAAAUUGUACACAAAAAACUAAAAUUAAAAUAAUACAAGACUAACAAAGGCCAGAGGCUCCUGACUUGGGACAGGCGCAAAAAUGCGGCAGGGUUAAACAUGUUUGUGAAAUCUCAACCCUCCCCCUAUACCUCUAGCCAAUGUAGAAAAAGUAAACGCAUAACAAUACGCACAUUAAAGUUCAGUUCAAGAGAAGUUCGAGUUUAAUGUCUAGAUAGAUAAGAGGGAGGUUUGUGCCUAUGUAAAACUUGUUAAACCCCAUCCCCACACGUUUCGUUUAGCCUGUAUCAAGUACGGCUAUUUAGAUUAUGCUUUGCAGACCCACUGGAUUCUUAAAAAAGGGGGCUGUUGGCUGCCAAACUAGACUAAAUUUUGUCAGAGCUCUAUAUUAUAAAAGACCUCAAGACAAAUAUCCAGAGUAAAAUUUCCCUAAUUUCUUUUUUAAGGAAUACAGCAUUACCAUCAGGAAAACAUGUUACAAAUUUUCUUGACAUGAGCCAACUUAAGUCUUGGCUGACAUUCCUAAACACUGUAAGCUUUAGUGAGAAGAAACAAAAACAAGCUUUUAAGUAUUUUUGUUUGAUGUGGCCUUGUAUGAAAACUGCAAAGCAAACAUGCUAUUUCAAGACCACCAAGAUGUUUUUAACUACUAUACUUUGUGAAUAUCAUCUAGCUUCCAGACUCUUUUGAAUCAAAGAGAACAGAAAUUAGUUGAUUUCUAAAAAUGAUGGUGAUCUCUAAUGCAUUUUAAAUGACUGCAUAAAUAUGAGGGUCUGAAUGGGUUUUACAGAGAUUAAAGGGUAAAAAGUGCAGAAUAAGCUUGGGUAAAAAAAUAGAGAAAAAUGUACCAAAAAAUUUAAAAAAAGAGAAUUAUGAGGACUAAAAUAUAAAGAAUACAGAAUUAUGGAGGACUAGAAUAUAAAGUAUAGGUAAUUAUGGACAAAAAUAUUUAAAGAAAAGGUAAAAUUAUCUAACCCCAUCCAUAUAUUCAUUCCAUACCCUCACAUAUGCACUGACUUUGAUCCUGCUUGACAGUAAUUAAUUAUUUUUUAAACAUUUUUAAGAAUCCUGUCAUUGAAGUUUGAGAGAUGAUGUGGUUUUGACAGUAAGAAGAAAUAAAGAAGGAUUUGGUAACUGUCUCAUCUGGUAAAACUUGAAACUUUCUUUGUUUUCAAAUCCACCAGACUUAAAAACAUCUAUGUAAACAAAAAUUAACAGCAAAUUAACCGGAAAAUUCAAACAUCUUUAAAUUAUCCUCCCUUUUCCUUUAAUUUACAGAGUUUUUAUUCAUUAGCAAUGAAUUACACCAUCUUUCAAAGAAAGGAAAAUGUAAAACAUAUCUUUUCAUCAGGUUUAUUUUCAUUACACUUAGCAGAGAAUGUGGAAUUUAUUAGUAAGUGUUGAAACAAGUGAUUAACCGGCAGUAAAGUACCGGAAAAAAACAUUCUUGCAUAAUCAACGGUUAUUUUAAUAAAAAUUAGUUCUGUCCCUGGCUAAUUACUUUACCAUGCCAUUUAGAUUAAAAGAUAAAACAAUUUCACUUGCUCAGCGGUAGUUUAUAAACAUUAAUUUACACUUGGCGCUAAGUUUGUGUGUUUUGAAUUUUUUCGCUUUAUUUUUCAAGCGUUGAUAAUUAGUAUUUUUUCAAGAUGCGAAAGUUUUUUAGUGACUUUUUGAUGAAGGGGUUGUAUAACACGUGUUUUGAACUUCUGCUAAAUGAGGAGCAAAUUUCACUUUGAUCAAUGUAGCUUUUGUACGUUUUAUUUUUUCAGGCAGAGUAAAAUUAAAAAUGCUGUUUUUUUUUUAAUAAAUACUUUAAUGAACAUUUGUAAUGGGAAAAGUAUGGGUUUUUCAACUUACUUGUACACAUGUAUAUAAAAGAUUUGUCUUGAAAACCUAGAAUGAGCAAUAUUUCAGAACUUUUUAAGAUAGGAAGCAAUAACUUGAAUUAAUGCUUUGGUUACAAAUAGUCUGUCUAAAACAACAAAUUUAAGUAUGGUUAUAGUAAGUAGGUAUGCUAAUAAUUUGUUUUACUUGUUAAAAAGUAUGUUUAACACUUUUAACACUGCCACAUUUUUGUGUCUGUCCCAAGUGAGGAACCUCUGUUUGUUUUGUUUGUUUUGUAUGUUCUUUUAAUUUUAGUUCAUUUAUAUUUUAAAUCAGAGUUUAGUGUGAAGUCCAUUUUCACUGAACUACCGGUAGUACACAUUUUUUGUUAAGGAGCCUGCAGAAGCUUAGCCUCAGAGUGCAUGAUUUUCUUAGUGUGCUGAAGACCUGUUGGUGGCCUUGGCUUGGGUUGUUUUCUCUUUGACACAUUCCCCAUCUCCAUUUUCAAUUUUUUUGUGUCAUCUGCCAUAUUAGUAUUAUACUUGUACAUUAUGUUAAGGAUUUGGAGUUUGAUAUAGUAUGCAGGGGCUGAUUUAACCCGAAUAAUUCAGUCGUUAUAUUCCGCUGAUCUACGAAGGCUACAUUAACGCCUGAACGUCUUCCUCGAUCAAGACCGUCAACCGGAAAAUUCACACCGCUUUGCAAUAUGGGAAUUUUGAUUUAAAUUGGCAGCUAAAGAAGGAGGAGUUUCGGAUGUUAAUUGAUGAUAAAUGAUGUAAACUGAUGUUAAUUGAUGUUAAUUAAUUAUUAUUGGAUUUGUGUUAAUUGAACACACGUGUUUGGUAAGACAAUUUCAAGAGAGUUGUGCAGACUCAUAUCCUGAUCGCCGCUGAUUGGCUCUCUCUCACAGAGAGCAGGCGACGCGGCCAAUGAUCACAAGGAGUUCAAGCCCUCGUGUGGGAGAAAAUUGGACACGGAAAGGGCUUGAAUUAUUCGAGUUAGGGCUGAUUGAGCAUUUUUGCAUAUCCAACUAAGUCAGACAUCAUGUGACUUUUGUGACGUAUACUAACCGCCAUUUUGUAUUAUAUUGCCCCAUACAAAAUGCAUAGGGCUUCAAUAAAGUUUAAUUUUCUCAUUAACCUGACCCUUUUUCUAACUUUUGCAAAUCAAUCCUUGAUAUUCAAACAUAUUUCUAUCAAACAUUGUUGGUCCUAACAGUUGAAUUUUUGAUUAAAUUCGGUCAAAUGAGAAUCGUAAAAACAUUACUUUUUCUCGUCAUUUCUCCAUUGACUCAAUUCUAAAUUACCGAUACCCAUGUCUACUUGUACAACAAAUAGAGAAAUUCCGUUAAUAAAAAUAAAACUUUGCAAAUCGAUUAAGUAUAUUCAAACAUACAUCUGGCGAAACUAAAGAGAUAUUAACACUAAACAACCAAUUUGAAAAUGUAAAAAAAAAAAAAAAAGGACCUGAAGACAAACAGCACUGAGCAGUAUUCAAAACACUACAGACUGAGUAACACCAACCCUACAAAAAUCAGUUGGAAAUGACUUAACUUACAAGAAAAUGAAAGAAAAAAAACGAAAUCCAGAGGACCGUAGGUAACCUAUCUAAGAGUACUUACAGUUAUUGAAAGAUAUAUAUAUAUACUGGCAUGAAAACUUAUCUCAAGAAAUAAAUCUAUGUGUCUUAAAUAUUUUUUUCAAAUUGUAACUAGUCAAAAGACCUAAAGUUACUAAAGUCACUGGAUGGAAUGUCCCUGUGGUCUUUGGCAUAGAAUAAUUAACUGUUAUAUUGAUUGAUUGAUUGUUGUUUACUUUAUGUCCAGUGGCAAAUAUUUCAUGCAUGGUCAGGACAAUUAAUUAACUAAUAUAAAUACCUUGUUUUGUAGGAACAAAAAGUUGGAGUUUUCUUGCAUGGUAGGACUUGGGACAGAUUGUUCAUCUAAUGUUUGGAUAAAUUGAGGUUCGUUUUACAUCCAGUGGCUAAUAUUUCAUACAUAUUCAGGUCGAUCAACAAAUGUUAGAACCAUAUAAUGUGCUGUAGUAAAAAAAAUCGGAAUAGGAAUUUGAAAAUUUUAUAUUGGUUUAUUUUAUGAAUUGACAUCAGCAUUGAAUUCUUUAAAUAAUAUUCCAUGUUCUGAAUCAUUCACUGUCAAUUUCGUCAGAGAAAGUUUUUAAUUUAAACUUAAUCCAUGGUGUCAAAUUUAAAUUUUGAUAAAUGCAUUUAAAUCUCUCAAUAUUUAUUCGAUAUUAUUGAAGCAACAUAAACUUUUCAAUUCAUUAAAUCAAAUUAAUGCUAUAUAGGAGGGCAACAUAUUAGAUAGAUCAAUAAAAAUAAACAGGAGUAAUUCAUCGGAGGUAAUUCUACCGAUUGACAAUUUAAAUAUGUUAGUUAUAAGGGAUUAAAUCAUUGUUCGCCUCAUAAUAAAGAUAAUAUUAGUCACUUAACUUUCUAAUAAUAUGGGAUUCAAAACUUUCCAUUCGUAAAAUAUGAUUUCAACUUCUAAUCAUGUUAGUGUAGUGCAAAAAAUAUUAAUUAGCUUGAUCUGUGCUUAACCUUUUGAUCCAACAUUUUUUUUAGAUGCAUUAUGUUUGUGAAAAUAUUCAGGCCUUUAUUUGUUUAUUUAUUCAACAAAUUUGAAGAUUUCUUUGUGAACAUUUUAGAAUGAGUAUGAAUUUCAUAAUGUAGAAAACAAGAGGUGUAUAAAAUUUAGCUGUUGCAGCUUUUAGAUCCUUUUUGUUUUUGAUUUUUGUUGGGUAGUAAUAUGAAUCAAUGCAAAGUUAAUACAAAAUUAAUUCUUAUCCUUCAGGGAAAACAUCUGAUUAGGAAUAUCUAGGAAAAGACAGACAAAUGUAGAGAAAUUAGUUAAAGAAAGAAAAAGAUUUGGUCUUUACAGAAAUGGUUUGUAUGAGUAAAUGAGGAGAAGUUAAAAACGGGUUUACUUGUUUAAAAUUCAAUUUUGAUUUUUUUUUAAAGGAUUUCAUUUUUAAAACCUUUAUUUUUCUCUCUCUCUCUUUUAUGUUUAUAGUUUAUUAUACAUUUUCUAUUGAAAAAAAGAUAAUUCUUAAAAAUGAUAUUUUGAACUUCAAUGGUUAACUACUCUAUAGGGUCAUUGAAUCAAAUUAUUUAUUGUACUUAAUACAAAAAAUAUUUUAUGCAAAUUCAUGAUGGAUUGAGAGGUAAUAGAAAUCAAAAGUUUAAGUUUACAUAAACUAUAAGCUGAAUCAAAACAUCUUAUUUCUUAUCAAGAAAAUUUCUUUACUUUUGGUGUUUUCUUUGUAAUAAAUCAUGCAGUAUAUGAGCCAAACCAAAUUUCAUGCAUUUUAUCAGCAAAAUUUUCUCCAUGCUUGCAAACAAUGGUAAACCUUGUUAAAACAAUUUAACAAAAUCUGAUAAAAUUUUAUUUGAUAUGAUUGAAACCUUUUUUUCUACAGGUGAGAAAAUAAAAUGAAAAGUAAAAGAAAAUAUAUGCCUUGAUUAGAAAAAGGGGUUGACUAGUUAUGAGAGUAAUGGAGCAUGCCAUUUUUUAUUGCCGAAAACUUAGAUGAAGUAGAUAUCCACUUGUCACAUGAUAAACAACACUUAAAACAAUUGUGCUGAUUUUCAAGAGCCCACCUGUUGUUUUAACCAGGUAAGUGGAUUAUAAUUUUGUACAUAUGUAUUGGCUACCAUUAUGAAAAGAUUAUAGUUGAAAAUAAUGCAUUUGAAUGUACUUAGACAAAUUUAUGAUAGUGGAAAAAGGGGAGAUGACUAAGAAUAAACUAAUCAAAUGAUUUUAUCUUUCAAUUCAGAAAAGAAAAUGAACACUUGAUAAAAAAAAGGUUUUUCAAAAUGCUCCAUAUAAUAAAUUUUUGUAAAAUUACAUCAAUGAAAUUCAUUUAUAAGAAUCUAAACAGCAAUGGGUACCAUUGAAUUGAAAAUAUUUCAGUUAUUGGAUUGUUGUUUUCUAAGAUUUUUAUUUGAUAGGGUGACCCAUUACCUGCCAAACCCGCCAAGGGUGAUGUCUUUUAAUUAAUGAUACAAACUUAUGUUAAACUAAUAAUGCAACCUAUUCAUGUCAAAAGAAAAAAGAAGAAAAAAUGUUGCUGUCACAAUAAAGUUUAAAAAAAUGACCAUGAAAUUAACAUACAUACAUGGUUACUUACACAUAAUCAGAACGAGUCCUUUAGAUACAGACCCCUAUAAUUAGAGACCC
rnacentral:lncRNA from 1 species